rnacentral:rRNA from 1 species
UUGAAGACGACGACGUUGAUAGGCCGGGUGUGUAAGCGCAGCGAUGCGUUGAGCUAACCGGUACUAAUGAACCGUGAGGCUUAACCUUACAACGCCGAAGCUGUU